rnacentral:rRNA from 1 species
UGAGGGCACGUCUGCCUGGGCGUCA